rnacentral:tRNA from 1 species
UAGCCUGGUGGUUAAGGCUAUGGAUCGCCAAUCCAGAGACGGCGGGUUCGAUUCCCGU